rnacentral:tRNA from 1 species
UGCCCCAUAGCUCAAUGGCAGAGCAAACGGCUGUUAACCGUGAGGUUGCAAGUACCCUUCGGGAACGCUUACGCGAACGACUCUUGCUGGGGCAGCCA